rnacentral:lncRNA from 1 species
CCAAAAUCAUGGAGCCAGCGGAAGGGCUAGAGCAGCUCAGAAACCAGGCAACUGGAAAUGAACUUGGUUCUGAUACAUCAUUGCCAUUUCCAAAAAACGUGCGUAGCAAAUGUGGACGAAAUGAAUGAAACCAUGUAACAAUGUUCUUCAAACUAAAUUUAAAACUGAGUUGCCCAGAACGAAAAAAAUAACCACUAGCCAUUUUAAUAACUCAUAUGUAGAUUAAAUGAACAAGCUGUCCACCUAAAUAUCUCAUUUCGAUGUCAUCUACUCGCCUGCACACAUGGAUUAAUAGUUACUUUAUACUUUUUAGGCUGCAGCGAACGCAAGAUUCUCAAAGAAAUAGUUUCCUAACAGAAUGACUGAUACCAUUGUGGAAAGAGACAUUAUUCAGGACAUUAUCUGUUUCAUUCUUCCGUCAAGGUAACUCAUCUACUUUUAGACUUACACUUCUAAAGAAAACUGCUAUGAUCUAAAGAGAUUGGCCAUAAAACUAUUUGUAUUGAAAACAUAGCCAGCGUGGCUUUAGUGAACUUUUUUCAUUAGCAUUCUUAGUGGCAAGGUUUCCAUAUCUCAGUGUUCAUUUUAUACUUUAAUUUGGUUAGUAGGUCUUUGUUUAAUCAUCCCAUUGAAAGGAGAACAAAGGCGGUUUAGGUGAUACAGGAGAGUAAUGCACUAUAUUUUAUCUCUGAAAAAAGCCCGACAAAGUCAGAAGACUCUGAUAGCCUCUGGUUUUCUCCAGGACAUUUGGAACCACAAAUCAGUCAGGGGAUAAAGAUCCUCACUGUGCCUCACUGUAGACACCUUUGGAAGAGAAACACCUUGUCAGCCACAGAAAUUAAGCUCUGCCAGUUCCAUCUGGCUCUGACGGCAGAUCAUCACACCAGAAGAGCGUCUCGGUUUCAUGAGUUUCUUGAACUUCCUUUGGUUGGUGUCACAGCCAGCCACCCAGUAGAGACUGAGACCACCAGUUCAUUUCACACAGGCCACUGAACAGUCAUAAGAUGGUGACAACUUUUGGUCUCUAGUGACCUGGACUGGAUCCGACUCACUGACCUAGAGGUGAAAGGCUCUGUAUUCCAUUACUAAUCCCUCGAGCUCUCCAGCCCCCUGAAAAUGAUUCUUUGGUUUUAUUAUUGCAAAGACCAUUUAUAAAAUCAUGAACUGGAUUUAGGAAAGCAACCAUGAAAUAGCAAGGGACAACAAACUGAUUGAAAUUCCUUAAAUGUAGCAUGGGCUGAAGUCUCUCAGACAGUAAGAUUGGGGGGAAAGUUAUAUAUAGGCACCUCCAUUCUGAUUUCAGUAGCGUGACCUGCUCACUUAAACGUGGCAACUUCAGAUCAUGGACCACGCCUCAAGGAACUAAAUCCUAAAUAAAGAAAAUGGAAAAGCAAACUAUGAAAUAGCCAAUAAUCUUUAUUUUGCACUUCCCCCACCCCUCACCCCUCUCCAAAAACCA